GCUCUUUUUUUGCAACACAAAUUCCAUCUAUUAAAAUAGCAACCAUGGACGGAUAUCAACCUGAUGUGGAGCUCUCAGAUGAUCCUUAUGAUACCAAGAGACUAAACACAGAGAACAUUCCUUGUGUACUGACUUUGAUGAAGAUUGGAAACCAUUUCCUAGUAGUUCCAACACCAAAAUGAAAAUGCUGCAGCUUUUCUGGUAUUAAAAUGAUUACUGCUGUUAGGAAAAUUGACAGUUGUAAGACAUCAGCUAUGAUAUUCUUAAAGAUGGAACUUUUAGAGAAAUAACAUUUAAGCGAUUAUAUAAA